rnacentral:rRNA from 1 species
UACGUAGGUGGCAAGCGUUAUCCGGAAUUACUGGGCGUAAAGCGCACGUAGGCGGACAUUUAAGUCAGGGGUGAAAUCCCAGAGCUCAACUCUGGAACUGCCUUUGAUACUGGGUGUCUUGAGUAUGGAAGAGGUGAGUGGAAUUCCGAGUGUAGAGGUGAAAUUCGUAGAUAUUCGGAGGAACACCAGUGGCGAAGGCGGCUCACUGGUCCAUUACUGACGCUGAGGUGCGAAAGCGUGGGGAGCAAACAGG